rfam:Camelus ferus unplaced genomic scaffold scaffold976, whole genome shotgun sequence.
UUUUUAGUAUAAGUCUGUCUCAUGUAACAUCUGAGACAGACUUAUACUAAAA